rnacentral:rRNA from 1 species
CCUACGGGAGGCAGCAGUGGGGGAUAUUGCACAAUGGGGGAAACCCUGAUGCAGCGACGCCGCGUGGGCGAAGAAGUAUUUCGGUAUGUAAAGCCCUAUCAGCAGGGAAGAAGAAAUGACGGUACCUGAGUAAGAAGCACCGGCUAAAUACGUGCCAGCAGCCGCGGUAAUACGUAUGGUGCAAGCGUUCUCCGGAUUUACGGGGUGUAAAGGGAGCGCAGGCGGCACGGCAAGCCUGAUGUGAAAGCCCGCGGCCCAACCGCGGGACUGCAUUGGGAACUACCGGGCUGGAGUGCCGGAGAGGUAGGCGGAAUUCCUAGUGUAGCGGUGAAAUGCGUAGAUAUUAGGAGGAACACCAGUGGCGAAGGCGGCUUACUGGACUGUAACUGACGUUGAGGCUCGAAAGCGUGGGGAGCAAACAGGAUUAGAUACCCCAGUAGUC